UCCCUCACGGGAGGGAUCAGCAGCCCCUCAUUCUUCAAUGAUCACAUUCAAAAUCUACAUGGGGGGUUGUUGAGAUCUCAGAGGGGAGAAGGAGGAAGCCUCCAUGCACUCCAGGAGGAACGGAGACCCUCGACCUUGUUCCAUCUCCCCUUCCUCCCCACCCCAAACCCAAGCGGCUGCAACAUUCCACUCCACACCCAGCAGGCACGGGGUCCGGCUAGGAUUCCAUUUCUUGGGAGAGAUGGGCCACAGGACUGCGUCCUGGCUUUCAGGGCCCUGGGGCGCCUAACUCUACCACCCCCGCUGUGGAGGCCGAGGCAAGGUUCGCCCGCAGACAUGGGUUUGUGUUUGCUCUAUUCCUGGAAGACAUGCGCCGCCACCGAGUCACUGGGCUUUUGACUCAGCUGUUUCCUCCUGCAGAUGAACCCAAACCCAGGCUUUGGAAUCAGCAGAGCCAGCUGGGGCACCAGCCUCCCACUGGCGUCUGUGUGACUUGGGGCAAUUCUCUUGACCUCUCUGAGCUUCGGUUUUCAGUCUCUCUGAAAUGGGAGGAACCAACUAGGCCAGCGUCUCAAUCCCUGGACUCAAGCCUUGGACAUCUCAAGUGGAUGGAGUUUCUGCCUGGCCGGGUGCCAUGACACCUGCACACGUGGCAACAAAGAAAAGGGAAGAGAAAGACUCCAUGUUGACUCUGCCUGGCUUCCAGACAGAGUUCCACUCUUGUUGCCCAGGCUGGAGUACAAUGGCGCAAUCUCCACUCACUACAACCUCUGCCUCCCGGGUUCAAGUGAUUCUCCAGCCUCAGCCUCCUGAGUAGCUGGGAUUACAAGUGCCCGCCACCACGUUCGGCUAAUUUUUGUAUUUUUAGUCAAGACAGGGUUUCACCAUGUUGGCCAGGCUGGUCUCAAACUCCUGACCUCAGGUGAUCCUCCUGCCUCAGCCUCCCAAAGCGCCAGGAUUACAGGCAUGAGCCACUGCACCUGGCCAAUGGAUCCAUUUCGAAAAUCUCUUAAUAAAUUUUACAAAAACUCA